CAAUAGCGUAUAUUAAAGUUGUUGCGGUUAAAAAGCUCGUAGUUGGAUUUCUGCCGAGGACGACCGGUCCGCCCUCCGGGUGAGCAUCUGGCUCGGCCUAGGCAUCUUCUUGGGGAGCGUAUCUGCACUUCAUUGUGUGGUGCGGUAUCCAAGACUUUUACUUUGAGGAAAUUAGAGUGUUUCAAGCAGGCCCACGCCUUGAAUACAUUAGCAUGGAAUAAUAAGAUAGGACCUCGGUUCUAUUUUGUUGGUUUCUAGAGCUGAGGUAAUGAUUAAUAGGGAUAGUUGGGGGCAUUCGUAUUUAACUGUCAGAGGUGAAAUUCUUGGAUUUGUUAAAGACGGACUACUGCGAANGNAUUUGCNAAGGAUGUUUNCAUUG
rnacentral:rRNA from 1 species